AUUGAACGCUGGCGGCAGGCUUAACACAUGCAAGUCGAGCGGGGUGAUGGUGCUUGCACUAUCACUUAGCGGCGGACGGGUGAGUAAUGCUUAGGAAUCUGCCUAUUAGUGGGGGACAACAUUUCGAAAGGAAUGCUAAUACCGCAUACGUCCUACGGGAGAAAGCAGGGGAUCUUCGGACCUUGCGCUAAUAGAUGAGCCUAAGUCGGAUUAGCUAGUUGGUGGGAUAAAGGCCUACCAAGGCGACGAUCUGUAGCGGGUCUGAGAGGAUGAUCCGCCACACUGGGACUGAGACACGGCCCAGACUCCUACGGGAGGCAGCAGUGGGGAAUAUUGGACAAUGGGCGGAAGCCUGAUCCAGCCAUGCCGCGUGUGUGAAGAAGGCCUUAUGGUUGUAAAGCACUUUAAGCGAGGAGGAGGCUACUUUAGUUAAUACCUAGAGAUAGUGGACGUUACUCGCAGAAUAAGCACCGGCUAACCCUGUGCCAGCCGCCGCCGUAAUAC
rnacentral:rRNA from 1 species